GCCCGGGCUCGGCCCUCACGCCGGAGUCGCCUCAGGGGGGCAGCGCUCGGGGCCCGGCGCCAUUGCGCGGUGCUCUGUGCUGCGGAGAAGUUCCAAAACGUUUUGGACGACGACAGGCAUGUUCCCACAGGAAUUGAUAAUUGGUUUUCCCAAAUGUGUAAAAAUCAGCAAAGUCACCAUCCAGUGUUAUUUGGUGCGGACCUUAAGGAUUGAAAGAAGCACAUCUAAAGACCCUGUGGGUUUUCAACAGUGCGUUGAAAAAGAUUUGCAGCACAGAGAAGGACAGCUUCAAAUGGAAGAAUUUCCACUUCCUGAGUUUGAAGCCACUUACUUGCGUUUCAUCAUCAAAUCUGCCUUUGAUCAUUUUGUGUCAGUGCACCGGGUGAUGGCAGAGGGCAUGACUUGAGCCCAGCUUAAAUUUGGGCCUCCAUUUUAUUUUUUUAUAAGGUAGCUACACUUUGAUAGCUGCACUACAGAUAAUGUUUAUUAUUAGAACCUUGUAUUAAAAUGGCUUUUGAAGGUCUGGAUGUGGUAUGUAUUCCCUGCUGGUUUAAUGUAUGAAUAGAAUAGGUGACUAUAGAAUCAUUUAGGUUGGAAAAGACUUUUAAGAUCAUCGAGUCCAAUCACAACACAGUGCUGUUGUUAAUUGUAGUAACAGCUUUCUCAUUUUGUAACCUAAGCUGUCAGCUUAGAACACCUGAGCAUAACUGAGUCCAUUUAAGGUAGUAUGUUUAUAUCAGGCUUACAUAAUACAUUAAUUAAAACUUAAUUUUCUGUAAAAUGUUUCCCUUGCACUCUGAGUUAAAUAGAAAAAAAAAGUGUGAGCUACUUAAGUGGGAUGCACUACUUCCUACUGUCAAACAAGUCCUUCAAAAGUCCUUAAAUUGGUAACUUUCUGAUCAGCUCAAACUCAGAGAUCAUUAGGAUGAAUAUAAAUGUCUGCUAAUGCUUAGAAAUACCCCAGGGGAGAGAGGCAGGGCAGGAAGGGAAAUAAUCCGUAGCAAAAUGAAGUGCUUUGAUAGACUUUUAAUAAUUGCAGAUCAAUCCCUUGUUUCUAGAAGUAUUUUCUCGAAUCAGGUCACAGCCGCCAGUGCUUUAUGCUGGGACCAUCAUAACAAAUACUCAUGGA